GCUACGGGUGGCUGCAGUGAGGAAUAUUGGUCAAUGGCCGCAGGGCUGAACCAGCCAAGUCGCGUGAGGGAUGACGGUCCUAUGGAUUGUAAACCUCUUUUGUCAGGGAGCAAAGGGCGCCACGUGUGGCGUUUUGCGAGUACCUGAAGAAAAAGCAUCGGCUAGCUCCGUGCCAGCAACCGCGGUAAUCAGGAGGAUGCGAGCGUUAUCCGGAUUUAGUGGGGUUAAAGGGUGCGCAGGCGGAAUGUCAAGUCAGAGGUAAGAUUUCGGGGCUCAACCCCGUCUUGCCGUUGAAACGGGGGUUCUUGAGUGAGCGAGAAGUAUGCGGAAUGCGUGGUGUAGCGGUGAAAUGCAUAGAUAUCACGCAGAACUCCGAUUGCGAAGGCAGCAUACCGGCGCUCAACUGACGCUCAUGCACGAAAGCGUGGGUAUCGAACAGGAUUAGAUACCCGAGUAGUC
rnacentral:rRNA from 1 species